UACGAAGGGGGCUAGCGUUGCUCGGAAUCACUGGGCGUAAAGCGCACGUAGGCGGAUCUUUAAGUCAGGGGUGAAAUCCCAAGGCUCAACCUUGGAACUGCCUUUGAUACUGGGGAUCUCGAGUCCGGAAGAGGUUGGUGGAACUCCGAGUGUAGAGGUGAAAUUCGUAGAUAUUAGGAAGAACACCGGUGGCGAAGGCGGCCCACUGGAUCGGUACUGACGCUGAGGUGCGAAAGCGUGGGGAGCAAACAGG
rnacentral:rRNA from 1 species